CAAGUACUCCCUCCGUUCGGAAUUACUUGUCUCGGAAAUGGAUGUAUCUAGAACUAAAAUACAUCUAGAUACAUCCAUUUCCGAGACAAGUAAUUCCGAAUGGAGGGAGUAGGAU
rnacentral:pre_miRNA from 1 species